AUUGAACGCUGGCGGAAUGCUUUACACAUGCAAGUCGAACGGUAGAGGGGGCAACCCCUCGAGAGUGGCGAACGGGUGAGUAAUAUAUCGGAACGUGCCCAGUCGUGGGGGAUAACGUAGCGAAAGUUACGCUAAUACCGCAUACGAUCUAAGGAUGAAAGCGGGGGAUCGCAAGACCUCGCGCGAUUGGAGCGGCCGAUAUCAGAUUAGGUAGUUGGUGGGGGAAAGGCUCACCAAGCCAACGAUCUGUAGCUGGUCUGAGAGGACGAACAGCCACACUGGAACUGAGACACGGUCCAGACUCCUACGGGAGGCAGCAGUGGGGAAUUUUGGACAAUGGACGCAAGUCUGAUUAAGCCAUUCCGCGUGCAGGAUGAGGGCCCUCGAGUUGUAAACUGCUUUUGUACGGAACGAAAAGGUCUCUCUUAAUACGGGGGGCUCAUGACGGUACCGUAAGAAUAAGCACCGGCUAACUACGUGCCAGCCGCCGCGGUAA
rnacentral:rRNA from 1 species